rnacentral:rRNA from 1 species
AUUGAACGCUGGCGGCAUGCCUAACACAUGCAAGUCGAACGGCAGCACGGGGGUUUCCCCCGGAUGCCGCGUGGCACAGGGGUGUGAUGCCUAUGAAUAUACGUGCUAGAGUGGGGUAACGUCCGGCGAAAGGCGCAUAUAUACCACACGCGCUGAGGGAGAGAGAGCGGGAGCUUCGGACCCCACGCUCUCAGAGGAUGCGAGGUCGGAUUAGCUAGUUGGUGGGGUAAAGGCCUACCAAGGCGACGAUCAGUAGCUGGUCUGAGAGGAUGAGCAGCCACACUGGAACUGAGACACGGCCCAGACUCCUACGGGAGGCAGCAGUGGGGAAUAUUGGACAAUGGGCGAAAGCCUGAUCCAGCAAUGCCGCGUGUGUGAAGAAGGUCUUCGGAUUGUAAAGCACUUUUAGUUGGGAAGAAAGGCAGUACGCUAAUACGGUCGUGGGUUGACGUUACCGGAAGAAUAAGCACCGGCUAACUACGUG